rnacentral:lncRNA from 1 species
CUUUUGUAAUUUUAACUAUUUUCAAACAGGUUUGUGGACCUUCAGUCGUGACCAUUGUAAAAUCCUUGGACAUGCUGGUAGAUGUCAGAAGGGUAGUCGGCUACCACAACAGACAGAGAAUGUCAUUGGUGGUAAAGUGGAUACAGGAAUGAGUGUUGAGAUCCAAGAAAACAGUGAAAUUCUUUUGCUAUUUGCUACCACCCAAACUAGAUUUAACUGAAGAAUUGAAUUUUGUGAGGUUCUGUGGACAAGAUAAACGGAACUUAGGCUACUCUGGCCUCAUCACUCAUCUCUUUACACGUGAAAAAGCCCAGUGAAGAAUGGACAGUAAAGUCACGAGAUCGCCAAGCUACUGCAACACCACAUUCAACACCGAAGAAAACAAACGGCAAUCGGAUGUUGAAAAAGAAUGAUUGCUCAUACAUGAGUUGCCGACAGAAAGAAUCAUCGUCGAGUGAAGAAAAAGGGCAGAACGCAAUAUUGGAAGUUCCAGACGAAACCGUUUUCCCCAAACUUGUGGAAGAUACCAAAAGCGGAGCUGAUUGUCUUCCUGGACGAACUUGAUGACAGCCAAUUAAAGGCCUCGUCCCAUCGAAAACGAGCAGCUGAACCGACGAGCGAGUUGUCAGAAGAAAAAAUACCGCGUGUCGAGCAAGGCAUAGACUAAUCCAAAUUGCAUCUGCCACUCCUGAUGCCACUGUCCCAGUAAUAAAGAGAAUCCUGUGAAUGCCGACGUGAACUAACAAAUCACAAUUUCUACUCACUAGUCCACCAGCGAGGAAAAAAGAAGGAAAGUCGUUGACAAAUCCUUGACGCCACCUAGGUCAACCACGGCACCACGCAAGACGAGACGCUGUUGGAGAAUGUACAGAUUGAAUGUACAGUUCGUAUACGUUAGCCGUUGCGGGGUACGGUACCUUCUUUCCUCACAUUUUUCUAUUAAAAAAGGUAACAUAGCCUUCAAUUUAUGCCUGACAAUUCCAUCUGAUCACGUGGCCUCGCUGAAACUGCUAGUACAUUUCCCCAAUAUGUUGUCUUUUACUGCACGUACCGCCUGUUCGUCUCGUCACAUGCAGCAAGCCAGCAACACUUCAGAACAGUAAAAGUAAUUAUGUUGUUCAACUUUUUAACCCUUAGGAAUACAGCCUUUUAAGGUCUGAGCCUCUCAGUCCCACAUGUACACGAAGUUGUUGCUGUUGCAGACAGCUGGCAGGUGGUUUUCUUUACUUGCAGGUUUGUUUGCUACCUGUACAGCUUGUAGCUUUCGUCACAUGCAGCAACACUUCAGAACAGUUUAAAGUAAUGAAGUUUAUCUGGUUAUACGCAUUACAGCCUCUUAAGGUCUGAGCCUCAGUCCAAUGUACACAUGGAUUUGUUGCAGCCAGCUGGUGAAAGGUUUUCUUCUUGCUGGUUUGCUUGCUACCUGUACAGUUUAUUGCUCUCAUCACAUGCAAAAACACUUCAGAACAAUUAUAAGAUUACAUCAGCCUCUUGAUCUUUCUGAAGGUCUGAGCCUCUUGAUGGCAGUCCAAUGUGCAGACGGACUUGGUACAGCUAGCUGGUGAACGGUGUGGCGAGCUGUUCAUGCAGACCCUGGUGCUGAUUAGCUGAUAUCGUGUGUAAAAUUCUGUCUACCAGGUGGCGGAGUGUCUGUUCGUGAGUGAGUGACGAAAUUCCGCCAUUUGCUUUUAAGACAAUGGAAGGGAAUGUGUUGCUGACGGUGUUUUUCGCCUCAUUUCAAACGAUUGAGGUAUAGGCCUACCGACGCCGUUCGACCAAGUUGUUUUGAAAGUGAACAACUCCAAAGCAAUUUUUCGAAGAUCUUGUCUUUCUCCACGUGGUGUCGGUGUGUCAUGAAGAUGCGUCUUCGAGAGGGUCUCUCUACUAUAUUGCAAGACAACAUUGUGAUCAACACAGGAAAUAUGAAAUGAUAAAGAUACUUGUAAGAUAAAGCAAGGGGGUUAGCAUUAUGUUCUUGAUCCUAGACAAGUGACCUAGAUGUUUCGUGCCUAAUCAGACGGUUUUUGUGGAAAGUUCUUUUUAAUCAGUUGUAAAUUUUCUUAGGAAAGAGCAGGAAUUCCCGCCAUUAUUAAAACUUGAAAUGAAGUAUUCAUGAUGUAAUUGUUGGCUAUCUUCUUGAUUGGGUUUUCUUUAGUUUAUUCUAAAUAUGAAGUAAAUCACUUACAUAACUUCUAGUUUUUAUUUUCUAUUAACAGCCUGGUGUAGUCCGAGCUUCUUCAUUGCAGUUCAAUGUGCAUAUGGAUUUGUUGCAGCCAGCUGGUGAAAGGUGUUCCUCAUGCAGGCUUGCCUGCUACCUGUUCCAUUUGUAGCUUUCAUCACAUGCAGAAACACUUCAGAACAGAACAUUUAAGGUCUUCCCAAUUUAAAGAUUACAGCCUCUUCAAGGUCUGAGCCUCUUCGUGGCAGUCCAAUGUGUACACGGAUUUGGUGCAGCCAGCUGGUUAACGGUGUGUAAAAUUAUGUCUACCAAGUGGCGGAGUGUCUGUUCGUGAGUGUGACAGUGUAGUGACGAAAUUCCGUCAUUUGAUUUUAAGACAGUGGACGGGAAUGUGUUGCAGACGGUGUUUUUCGCCUUUACAUUUUAAAACGAUUGAGGUAUUCUGACGCCAUUCGACGAAUCGAAAGUGAACAAAUCGAAAGUGAACAACUCUAAAGCAAAUGUGUCGAAGAUCUUGCCUUUCUCCACGUGGUCGCUGCUGUGUCAUUCAUGAAGAUGCGUCUUCGAGAGGGUCCCUACUAUAUUGCAAGACAACAUUGUGAUGAACACAGGAACUGUAAAUACUUCAAGAUAAAUCAAGAUUUCAUGGCCAGUUUGAUUUUGGAGCUGUUUAUGGUGUUGCUGUGUGGUGUGCAGUGGAUUCCCAGUCAGUUUCCAGCUGACAGAUGCACUUGAAUGGAGCUUGUGCAGACUCGCAGUUCAACAUUAAACCUCAAUUUCUUAUUUUCCUAUUCUUGUUGUGUUCCUGCGGUGUUGAAAAGUUGGUGAAAAUAGUCCAUGUUGCCUGAUAGCUGUCUUGAAUAUUUUAUCGGCUGCAAUUUUGUCGACAUGUUAUCGUCUGCUACCUGUACCGGCGUUGAGACAAUCGCUCGCCGCUGUUCCAUAGCUGAAACUGAGCAGAUGCUGAAAUUCAAGACUGAUAAAUAAUGUAGAUGAUUAUAAGUGCAUAUCUGUGCUCCUUCCUUUCCCCGUUUUCUUAAGUAAACAGACCCCCCCCCCUCCCCUCUAGCUGGUUAAUCACCCGCUGUGAUAAUGCCAUAAGAUGCAUGAUCUGUGGAAAACUUGGGAGGGUUAUGAGGGAAAUUACUCUAUGAUUAAUUGCUCCCUUAACAUUCGUUUCACUCUACUUUGAUUCUGCAAGUUUUGUCCUAAAAUUAAUUGCUCCCUUAACAAUUGUUUCACAACUCUUCGCUUUUCCAUUUCAGCAAACGAGUUCUCCUACAAAACCUGUUUCCUU